CCUACGGGAGGCAGCAGUGGGGAAUAUUGCGCAAUGGGCGAAAGCCUGACGCAGCAACGCCGCGUGAAUGAAGAAGGUUUUAGGAUUGUAAAAUUCUGUCCUAAGGGAAGAAAAAAAUGACGGUACCAUAGGAAGCAGCGCCUACUAACUACGUGCCAGCAGCCGCGGUACGACGGAGGGGGCGAGCGUUCUCCGGAAUUACUGGGAGUAAAGGGAGCGUAGGCAGCACUACAAGUCUCAUGUGAAAGACCCGGGCUUAACUUGGGGGUUGCAUGGGAAACUGUAGAGCUUGAGUACAGGAGAGGCAAGCGGAAUUCCUAGUGUAGCGGUGAAAUGCAUAGAUAUUAGGAGGAACACCAGUGGCGAAGGCGGCUUGCUGGACUGUAACUGACGCUGAGGCUCGAAAGCGUGGGGAGCAAACAGGAUUAGAUACCCGUGUAGUC
rnacentral:rRNA from 1 species